UGUUGAUGCUGAAUGAAUGCUAAACACUAGUAGUGAAUUGAUAUGACUUCAGGCAGUUUUUUGCUUCUCUGUAUUUGGUUUUAUCGUUAUUUAUUUCAGGCAUGCAUAGGCCUCAUUCUCUGUCAAGCAGCCCUUGGAAUGGCAUACACUAAAAAGAAGAGCUCUACAGACACUCCUAGAACGUUCAGACUCAUUUGAAGAUGCUAGAUAGAUACACAGAUGAUAAAGCAGGUCAGACUGAGAAGGUAUCAGGGAGCAGACAGAGAGUCAGAUGACCAGUUUUGAGCCCUAAACAUACAGCCCCACUGCAGAAGAAGGAACAUACAUGGUCAAACUGUUCCUCCAGUUCAAUAUUGCCUGCACUGACUGGUAGUGUCGCUCCAGGAACAUAGGAAGCUGCCAUAUAUUGAGAGCUGAAAUAUCUUAGAAAAACUGAAGGGGAAAUGAAGCUUGGUAGUAAACAUUUGGGCAGAGGAACUCUAGGUGACUGACAAGUAUUUGAUCUUUCUGCCUUUCCCUCUUCCUUCUGUACUAUCACAAAUUAUUGGCCAUAAAACACGACUGCUGUGUUCUGCCUUUCAUGGAGAGAGAGAGAGAGAGAGAGAGAGAGAGAGAGAGAGAGAGAGAAGCUCAGGAAAGACCUAGGUGGCUAACACUUAACUUUUAUCUUGGCCAUUCAGUAAUGCUAAAUUAGAAUUAAACCACUCUGAUAACACACGUGACAGUUAUAAGAAGGCCAAAUGAAUGACCAGUACUGCUAAAAUGAACACUGCUGUAUUCUAACUAAUAAUUUUUGUAUGCUGUGUUGUUGAGAAAUUUGUCACAGUGGGGAUCCUGCUUGGGGGGUGACAAAAAAGGGUAGUAUGAAACAGAAUAGCUGAAUAUAAUUGUUCAAUAUCCCCAAAUCAAUUUCUGCAUAAUUCCAACAAAUAAAAU